rnacentral:lncRNA from 1 species
ACUUCAUCGAUUUUAAAAUAAAAACUUGAUUCAAGAUGAUAAUUGAGUUCAGUAGCUAAGUGAUUAAUAGCACCCAUGCAUACAAAUAUAAUCAACAUCCAACCGUGGAAUAUGAUAAACAUUACCUCCCAUAUAGUCACAUAAAGGAGCAUAGAUGAAAUUCCCACCAUAGUGUACAUUCAGUUUCACAAUAGUAUCCAUCUGUAAUAACCACAUGCAAAACAGAGCAUAAGUUG